GAGGGAGGGGGGAGGGGGGACACAGAGGGAGGAAGAAGCGGCGGCGGCGGCGGCUCCUCGGUGCAGAGGGGGAAACUGUGGGCUCGGAGCAAGAAUAAUGCGGUAGCAAGGCGGGCUGCUUGCUCCUGGCUCUGGCAGCAGCGAAGGUAGCCCCAGCAGCGGCAGCGGCAUCACCUCAGACGCUGACAGCCCCGCCGGCCGGCUCCCUCGCUGACUGCCGACUGUCAAUGGAGCUGGAAAACAUAGUGGCCAACACGGUCUUGCUGAAAGCCCGGGAAGGGGGUGGAGGAAAGCGCAAAGGGAAAAGCAAGAAGUGGAAGGAAAUCCUGAAGUUUCCUCACAUCAACCAGUGUGAAGACCUCCGAAGGACCAUGGACAGAGAUUACUACAGUCUAUGUGACAAGCAACCAAUUGGGAGACUGCUUUUUCGACAGUUCUGUGAAACCAGGCCUGGACUGGAGUGCUACAUUCAGUUCCUGGACUUAGUGGCAGAAUAUGAAGUUACUCCAGAUGAAAAACUUGGAGAGAAGGGGAAAGAAAUAAUGACCAAGUACCUUACUCCAAAGAGUUUCUUAUUGAACCUGGAGUUCACCAUUUCAGCUAGAUUGGCUGGCCAACAAGCCCCAAGAUCUUCCUGUUUCUGCUUCCUCAGUGCUGGAGUUACCAUCACAUCCAGAUUUUAUGUGGGUCCCGGGGAUCUGAACUCAGGUCCUGAUGCUUAUGCAGAUGCAUCCCCAGUCUUCAUUGCCCAAGUUGGCCAGGACCUGGUCUCCCAGACAGAGAUGAAGCUCCUGCAGAGGCCCUGCAAAGAACUCUUCUCUGCUUGUGCUCAGUCUGUACAUGACUUCUUGAAGGGAGACCCCUUUCAUGAGUACCUGGAUAGCAUGUAUUUCGACCGUUUUCUGCAGUGGAAAUGGUUAGAAAGACAACCAGUGACCAAAAAUACUUUCCGGCAGUAUCGAGUGCUGGGCAAAGGGGGCUUUGGAGAGGUCUGUGCCUGCCAGGUUCGGGCCACUGGUAAAAUGUAUGCUUGCAAACGCUUAGAGAAGAAGAGGAUCAAAAAAAGGAAAGGAGAGUCAAUGGCACUCAAUGAAAAGCAGAUUCUUGAGAAGGUCAACAGCCAGUUUGUGGUCAACCUGGCUUAUGCCUAUGAGACCAAAGAUGCGCUGUGCCUGGUUCUGACCAUCAUGAAUGGGGGUGAUCUGAAGUUUCAUAUCUACAACAUGGGGAACCCUGGCUUUGAGGAAGAGCGAGCCUUGUUUUAUGCAGCUGAGAUCCUCUGUGGCCUGGAAGACUUACACCGUGAGAAUACUGUCUAUAGAGAUCUGAAACCCGAAAACAUCCUGCUAGAUGAUUAUGGCCACAUCAGGAUCUCAGACCUGGGACUGGCUGUGAAGAUCCCUGAGGGAGACCUUAUCCGUGGCCGGGUAGGCACUGUUGGCUACAUGGCCCCAGAAGUCCUGAACAACCAGCGAUAUGGGCUGAGCCCUGACUACUGGGGCCUGGGCUGCCUCAUCUAUGAGAUGAUUGAGGGCCAGUCACCAUUUCGAGGCCGCAAGGAGAAAGUUAAGCGGGAAGAGGUGGAUCGCCGGGUGCUGGAAACUGAGGAGGUGUACUCCCUCAAGUUCUCCGAAGAGGCCAAGUCCAUCUGCAGCAUGCUGCUCAUCAAAGACUCGAAGCAGAGGCUGGGCUGCCAGGAGGAGGGGGCUGCCGAAGUCAAGAGGCACCCCUUCUUCAGGAACAUGAAUUUUAAGCGCCUGGAGGCUGGGAUGUUGGACCCUCCCUUCGUUCCAGAUCCACGGGCUGUGUACUGCAAGGAUGUGCUAGACAUUGAGCAGUUCUCCACUGUGAAAGGCGUCAACCUGGACCACACAGAUGACGACUUCUACUCCAAGUUCUCCACAGGCUCUGUGCCAAUCCCAUGGCAAAAUGAGAUGAUAGAAACAGAAUGCUUUAAGGAGCUGAAUGUGUUUGGACCCAACGGUACCCUCUCACCGGACCUGAACAGAAGUCAGCUUCCAGAACCACCAAAGAAAGGGCUGUUCCACAGACUCUUCAGGCGUCAGGGCAGGAAGCAUCUUCAGGCUCAUGGGAAGUGCAGACUGAGCUCCACCCCCUGCCAAGUUUGUGUGUUUUCUAUAAGAACUUCAUAUUUAGGCUUUCUUAAUUCCAUGGACCUUCCCAGGCACCAGACAAAACCCUCUGCUCAGGGAGCAGGCUGUAGACUCAGGUCUGCUGGGAAGAAUGCAAAAAAGCAAAGAGAAGCAGCAUCAGAACAAUUCCAAGAGUUCACCCACUCCUAAGACCAGUUGUAACCACCGUAUUAAUUCAAACCACAUCAAUUCAAACUCCACUGGAAGCAGCUAGUUUCAGCUCUGGUCUAGAAGUAAAAAAUGUAACCAGCUCAGACCCUUCUACUUGGAAGCAGAACUUGUAGCCAAUGGAGCUUCCACUGUGGCUGGGUGGCCAGGAGAGUGCCCCCAGGAACCGGGAUAGGAUAUUGUUCACCCCAACAACAAGCCUCCAAGUUUCUCAAAGAAAUUUUCACUCAGCCUUUUUCCUCAGUGUAUCUGUCACUCUCCUGUUGACUUGUAACAAUCUGAAUGAAAUGCCAAAAUACACUUGGUACAUCAUCUCCCUCCACUCCUGACCCAAACACUCUGGGAGCUCUGACAUCAUUGGUAAGAGUACUUCAAUGGGCAGGCAUUUGACAUUGCAGUUUCACUUGGCCUCCUGCUUUAGGGCAUGUAGCAUGCAGGGCAAGGAAUCUUAUAUCAUUGAGAUAGAGAUCUUGGCUGCUAAAGCCAGUGGUUUUCAAGAGGUUUCUGUUGGGUUCAGGGAUGUCUGUUGUAUAUUACUUUUAGGAGUUUGUACUGAUGGUAAUGACCAGUCAUGAAAACCCAAGUGUUCCCAACCAUGGAACUACGGAGAAGUUGAAUUGGGGUCCAUCCUGAGUGACUGCCUCCAAGCCUGUUUAGACCUUGGCUGGUCAAUAAAGUGAUCACAGAUCAUGACACCUUCAUAUGGCCCCACAUACUUGUUGGCUCAUGUGACGUGAAGAAAGUCAUCUCUCCAGGAAAAUGGGAUGCCUGAGAGGAAUCCCACGUACUAGUGAAGUGCAAGACAAUCUCAUUGUCACUUCCCCAGGAGAGCUGGGCCAGAGGCUUGUUCUAAUGGGCAUCUCAAAGACAGGCACAAGUCAUUCCUAUAAGACUUGGUGGACUCACCUUUACAACUCUAGGAAGUUGCUGCUCAGCCCCUGAAGUCCCAGGAGGUGACAAGGUACAGAUUUGCCCUCACCUUCCCUCCAGGACAGGGUAAGCAGCUAAUCUCACUACUUCCUGGGAGGCUGAGGCUCUGAAUAUGAUGACUCUGCCUCAAAACUGGUUUCAGCCACCACCAAUUACUAGGAUUUCUUGCAAGGUGAACCAGGUGCUACCUGAAUCAGCUCCUGUUAAAAUGCAAACUCCUGGGCCACACUCCAAGCCUACUACUUGGUGAUCUUAUUUUAUAGUACAGGAUAGUAUCAAACUCAAAACCCUCCUGCCUCAACCUCUGGAGUUCUAGGAUUGAAAAUGCAUACUACCAUGGAGUCUGUGUCUUUACUAAGCUACCCACACCCUUCUGGUACCCUGUUGUGUGAGAACCAUCCCCCUAUGGGUAUGGCCUAAAUGCCAUGUUUUUCUGAGGGACAUGACAACUUUGGGACUUAAGCCUGUCAGCAGGAAAAUCCCAAGUAUGUCAGUCUCAUAUCUUUGAUCCCAAACUCUUCCAGAGUUCACUGCUGGAAAAGAACCUGGACUUUGGGGCUGAUCAUCCUGAAGUCAUUUAAUCAUGAGAAAGAAAACAGCCAGGCUGUUUUCCAUGGAGCAGGAUUAACUUCAAGCCUGGCCCCGAGGCUGCCUCUGAACUUUUCUUGGGGUGAACAUGAAGCAAAUACAAACAACCAUAUCUAGGUUCUAUUGGGGAGCAGGACACUCAGUACUUCCGGGUCAUCAAGCUCUUGCUGACUCUUCUUCCUUGAGGAAAAGAAGAAUUGUCAUCCUCCUGGGCUGGUCUUCAGCCCCAGCACAGACAACCCCUGCCUCCUUCUCACAGGUUUGUUUCUGUUUCACCACCCACAGCCAUUAACCCUUGUCUAGUGGGUAACUCUUAGGAAGAAGUUUCUCCUUAGGCCUUGAUGUCAAGGCAAUGUGCAUUUGUAGCAGAGAAUCCCUAGAAAGCUAAAAAGAGAAUGGAAGUCUGGCCACCAUGUGUUCCCAUCACGAGGUCCUGAAAGGCCUGUGCACUGAAAUGUACCUGAGUGCCUGUGGGGAGUUAGGGUAGCCACAUGAUUCAGUCUUUUAGUUUGUUUUGGCCCACUCAUGGUUUUAUAACAAGAGACCAACCAGUGGCUGAAAACUGGUUCUCCUCCCUGACUGACUCUUCCUCCUGCCUUUGUUUCUAUAGCUGCAUUUUAGAUGUUUUGUUUGUUUGUUUUGCUUUUUGUUUGUUUGUUUUGUCUAAUGACAACAAGCCCUCUGUCCAUUCACCUCUCUGGGAGUAAGUGUAUGUGGACAGCGAACAGAUGAUACUCUAUUGUGCAUUUGAGCUCUUUGUAGAAGACACUUUCUUCAAGUGUUGUAUUUUUCUCAUCAAAUGUUCACUGACUGGAAGUGAGAAGUUUCUCUCCUUUUGUUGUUUGGGAGAUAGGCCUCUGUCUGAAGUGAACAGUGUGCUCUCUGCUAUUAUCACCCUUUGUGUGUGUGAGACUCUGAAUAUCACUCCAGAAUAUCAAGAAGGCCUGACCCCACCUUCCAGGAAGAUGGUGUCUAGCCUCUGCCCUUUCUUGAACCUGAACCACAAGGCCCCAGGUUCACUCACCUGCCUAGGGCCUGAGUCUGGCUGAAACCACAGGGCUGGUCUCUGGAUAAAUUCUGUUAUCCAAAGUUGUUCUUUUGGAGGGGCAGCAAGAGGUUUGCCAUACAAACACAGCCAGGUAGCCUCAAUGGCAAGCAUGCCUCAAAGUUACUGCCCCGUGAUGUUUCUGAUGAGUUCACGUGAAUGGGGACAUGUGCGUGAUGCAUCUUUGCAUUAGGAGCACAAGAUUGGAGCCUACCCCUGAGAAAACUAAGGUCAGGAAAUUUUCAUACUUUUCCAAGGAACUUAGACCCACUAUUGAAAUCCAUCAUGAACUUUCUUGAAAGGCUGGCUCUGUUUUCCAGAAAAUUCACUGAGCUAUUAACCUCAACAUAGAGCAGUAAUGCAGCCUCCUGGACCUUGGCAUUCUAAGACUUCACAGAGGGAAUGGUGGCAGCUUCUUGGACAACUUGAGGUCCCAAGAGAGGAAGAGAAAAGGCUGAUCCAAACAACACUGGGCUCUUCUCUUGGGAUACUGUGUGCUUGCUUUUCUGGCUGUAUCCUUAUCCCCUUCCAAGUGUCUCCCAUCUUCAUAACCCAAUAUCCUGAGAUAAGACCUUCUAACUUCUUGGAUUUUGCUAUGGAAAGGUGGUAUAAAGUAUCUUCUUCCACCUUCUGUACCUGUUUAUACAACCAGCCACUCAGCUAUUGAAGCUGACAGGUAUGUAGGCCAGAUCCCAUAUAGGCACAUGAGUUGCCUUCUCUGAUCCAAACUGAAGUCUUGACUCAGGACAAUGAUUUAACAUGUGACAAGCUAGCUCACCCUCGGAAAGAAAUAUCCUUCACCCCAAAAUAAGAUGCUGGACAUUUUUCCAGUUUAUUGAUACAUCAUUCCAUAAUAGAUUGCAAGUAAAUAUUCUCCAUUGGAAAGGCAUUGUGGUUACUGGCAUUAUUAUAAUUCUGUUAUCCAAAGUUUCCUUUUUUUUUUUUUCAGGGAGAUUUUAGCAGUAAUGAAUGAACAUGGUUCCAUCUUGGAGGUUAUUGUCAAUGAUAACAGCUUCUGUUGUGCUGCUCUGAACCUCUUGUGUUCUGUUCACUGUGUCACAGUGCCACUAUAUCUAGCCACAACCACUGCUGUUUCAUAAAGAGAAAUAAAUUCCUUAAUGAACAUA